AUUUAGAUCGCAUUUAUUGGAUUAGAUACGAUUUAUUACGUGCAUUAUUAAUAAAAUUAAUUAUAUAUAUAAAAUUAAGGAAUAAUUGUCUGUAUACCUCUCAAAACUUCAGAAAUAUCUAAUUUGUCCCUACUUUUUUUUUUUCUUUUCAAUAUACCCCUCAUAUGUUCCUUCGUUAUUCCAAAAUACUCAUAUAGUUAUCACUCGUUAAGUUAACUUGAGUUAAACAUGAGUUAAAUAUUUACUAGAGUUAAAAAAAUCAAAAUACUUUUUUGCCCUUAACUUAAGAGCAAAUAAGAAAUAUUCGUAACCGUAGAGAGAUAUAUUUGAAAAGACCAAAAGUCAAAAUACUUUUUGUGUCCCUGACAAGGGCAAAUAAGAAAAGUCGAGAUGGUGGAAGGGUAUAUUUGAAAGGGUAAAAUAGUAAUUUUAUACAGAUAACAGCUAUUGCUAACCGUUUAUUAAUAAAAUUUAACUCUAGGGGUAUAUUUGAAAUAGGUUGGAAUAUAGAAAUGACAUUUUCAAUAAUUGCCUUCUAAAAGGGGUAAUCCGAAAAUCGUAAAUUUUUUAAGAGUAUAUAAGCAAUUGCCCCUAAAAUUAAUUAUAUAUGUAUAUAUAGAAGCGGAAGGU
rnacentral:lncRNA from 1 species